rnacentral:rRNA from 1 species
AUUGAACGCUGGCGGCAUGCUUUACACAUGCAAGUCGAACGGUAACAGCACUUCGGUGGCUGACGAGUGGCGAACGGGUGAGUAAUACAUCGGAACGUGCCUAGUAGUGGGGAUAACUACUCGAAAGAGUAGCUAAUACCGCAUGAGAUCUAAGGAUGAAAGCAGGGGACCUUCGGGCCUUUCGCUACUAGAGCGGCUGAUGGCAGAUUAGGUAGUUGGUGGGAUAAAAGCUUACCAAGCCGACGAUCUGUAGCUGGUCUGAGAGGACGACCAGCCACACUGGGACUGAGACACGGCCCAGACUCCUACGGGAGGCAGCAGUGGGGAAUUUUGGACAAUGGGCGCAAGCCUGAUCCAGCAAUGCCGCGUGCAGGAUGAAGGCCUUCGGGUUGUAAACUGCUUUUGUACGGAACGAAAAGCCCUCUUCUAAUACAGGAGGGUCAUGACGGUACCGUAAGAAUAAGCACCGGCUAACUACGUG